UACGGAGGGGGCUAGCGUUGUUCGGAAUUACUGGGCGUAAAGCGCACGUAGGCGGCUUUGUAAGUUAGAGGUGAAAGCCUGGAGCUCAACUCCGGAACUGCCAUUGAAACUGUUUAGCUUGAGGACGAGAGAGGUGAGUGGAAUUCCCAGUGUAGAGGUGAAAUUCGUAGAUAUUGGGAAGAACACCGGUGGCGAAGGCGGCUCACUGGCUCGUUUCUGACGCUCAGGCGCGAUAGCGUGGGGAUCAAACAGG
rnacentral:rRNA from 1 species